UACGUAGGUGGCGAGCGUUGUCCGGAUUUAUUGGGUUUAAAGGGUGCGUAGGCGGCCCUGUAAGUCAGUGCUGAAAUAUCCCGGCUUAACUGGGAGGGUGGCAUUGAUACUGUGGGGCUAGAGUACGGAUGAGGUAGGCGGAAUUGACGGUGUAGCGGUGAAAUGCUUAGAUAUCGUCAAGAACACCUAUAGCGAAGGCAGCUUACUAGGCUGUAACUGACGCUGAGGCACGAAAGUGUGGGGAUCAAACAGG
rnacentral:rRNA from 1 species